AAACGCGUGCAGCUUGCAUGCCUGCAGGUCGACGAUUCCCGCCGGACCCCACUGCUAUCGGGAUAGGACUAAGACAUGCUAGUCGAGCGCCUCCCAGCCACGACGGAGGCGCGGCGCACAGCUCAGUAACACGUGGCUAACCUGCCCUUGGGACAGAGACACCCCCGGGAAACUGGGGCUAAUCCCUGAUAGGUGAAGAACUCUGGAAUGAGUCUUCACCCAAAAGACGCCUAGGCCACGCUUCUAGGCGCCGCCCAAGGAUGGGGCCGCGACCGAUCAGGUUGUUGGUGAGGUAACGGCCUACCAAGCCUUUUACCGGUACGGGCCGUGAGAGCGGGAGCCCGGAGAUGGGCACUGAGACAAGGGCCCAGGUCCUACGGGGCGCAGCAGUCGCGCAAACUUUGCAAUACACGAAAGUGUGACAGGGCUAUCCCGAGUGCCGUCCGCUGAGGGUGGCUUUUACCCAGUCUAGAAAGCUGGGAGAAUAAGGAGAGGGCAAGUCUGGUGUCAGCCGCCGCGGUAAUACCAGCUCUCCGAGUGGUGUGGAUGUUUAUUGGGCCUAAAGCAUCCGUAGCUUGCUGAUCAAGUCCCCUGUUAAAUCCAACGAAUCAAUCGUUGGAUUGCGGGGGAUACUGCUCGGCUAGGGGACGGGAGAGGCCGACGGUAUUUUCGGGGUAGGGGUGAAAUCCUAUAAUCCCGAGAGGACCACCAGUGGCGAAGGCUGUCGGCUAGAACGCGCCCAACGGUGAGGGAUGAAAGCUGGGGGAGCGAACCGGAUUAGAUACCCGGGUAGUCCCAGCUGUAAACGAUGCAUGCUAGGUGUUUGGGCGGCCACGCGCCGCUCUAGUGCCGCAGGGAAGCUGUUAAGCCUGCCGCCUGGGGAGUACGGCCGCAAGGCUGAAACUUAAAGGAAUUGGCGGGGGAGCACCACAAGGGGUGAAGCUUGCGGUUUAAAUGGAGUCAACGCCGGAAAUCUCUAGAGGAUCCC
rnacentral:rRNA from 1 species